rnacentral:misc_RNA from 1 species
GCAUUUUAACUAUGUAUGUUGGCUUUCUUGAAGUUCUAAAAGCUAGGUUCCUCUCCCAUUUGCUGCUGUUGCAUUUCUUAUAUUUGUAACAAUUCAUUUAUUCUUAGUCUGUCUCCGGUCGUGUCUAUUCCAGAUGAAUAAUCUGGAAUAUAUGGCUAGGAAAUUAAUGCUUUAUUAACAUGGAGCUUGGAAAGGAAUCUAAAAG